UUUCAUUUAGUAUAAAUAAGUAUAUUAAGCUUCCAACUUAAAGGUUUUUUCAAAAAUGAAAA
rnacentral:tRNA from 1 species